ensembl:lncRNA
UCAAAGAACAAAGCUGGUGGUCCAACCAAUAUCUGCUCCCCCCCCCCCACUUAAGGAGCAAAGCUACUUCAAUAGAGGCCAAGAUGCUUUUAACGUUUUCUAAUGGCAAGUAAUUGGGUAUUCAUGUAAAUGGCAUUCAUUUUGCUUUUGUCUGUCAUUGUAUUGUACUUGAAUACAAUUUGAUGGCUAAGUGUCUAUGCAGUAAUUGUAUUAGUUUCUUAUUGUUUGGUUAAUUUUGUAUUUUGAAGAGCGGGGAUGUGUGUAGGCUUUCUUUUCCUCCCCCUUUGCAUUUUUCAGUGUGCAGUGUCCCUGAAUGCUUUCGACUGAAGAUGUCAUCUUAACAUUGUAUGUAAAGAUUUGCUUUCGCAUCAGUCAACUUCAGCCUCAUUUGGUCACGUAAGGUCACUAAGCAAGCCAUUUGUUCCUAACAUUUUUUCAUUAAUAGUCUGUUACAAUUGUUAAGAUGUGUGGUAGAGCACUUAUUACAAAUUAGCUUUGUAAUUUGUAUGUAAGUGUACAUUCUGUAACUGUUCCCAUUUUCAGUUAAUAAAUGCAUAGCUUGUUGUGAUUGAAAUAUUUUGGUAUGCAUUUUGUUUCUUGGGGUAUGUCUGGGGCUUUUUGGGGUAUUUCUGUGCUUUUUCAGGUGUGAGUGUAAAGCUUGGCGCUUUUUGUAGAGCUUGGAUGCCAGGGCUUGAUGUCGACUCUGUUCAAGGUGGAGAGGCAGAUCAGUCCAGUUCUACAACUGUACUCAGGUCGAAGGAAGAAAGGCAAAAUAUACAAAUUUAACUUGAAGAUAUGCUUUAUGCAUUAAAUUGUAGUCUCUUAUACAUAAGCCUACCCUUUUAAUAUCUGAUUCUUGUAGACUGUUUUACUUUGAUAAUGGGCUGUUUUGUAAGGGUGGGCAGAGGGGGCCUUUGUUUUUGCCAUUUUUGGUCUUGCAGAAUUUUACGAGGCCUCGUGAAGAAUGCCACUUCAUCCGGUUCCACUGAAUACUUCGGCAGGCAGGACAAUUCGUUGUGCUACAGAAGAUAUUAAACUGUACUGUACUUUUAAAAUGUUUAAUUACCCAGCCACUGCUCUGCGCAACUGUGCAGGGUGUAAAAGUUGCUUUACAAAUGUAUAGCAAUAGUCUGUUCAGCUGUUGCACAAAUGUGCUCCAAACUCCAAAUUUAGAGUGGCUGGGAAAAGCUGUGCAACUGUGCAGCUGUUUUUUUUUGAUUGGCUGUAUAGCCGAAAGUUACCUGGAAAAGAUUUGUUUGGGCUGGGGAGGGCUUUGCACUAUUCUCUUUCUUCUGCAGAAAUCUCAUCAGCCAGCUGUGUGGUGAAAGUUACAUGAUGUCGUCCUGUGGAGUCUGUAGCUACCAGGUGUCUGAAUCUUUAAACUUGAUUGUAGAAUCCUCAUGCAACAUUGUAAUCUUCAGUAACAUCAAUCACCACUGCUUCAGAAGCUGCACUUGUUUUGUGCUUCAUGCACUUUAAGUUUCUUUUACAUCUCUUAACUCCUUAGUAUUGAAGUCGGUGUGGUGGAAGUGUUUGUGUGUAGAAGCUCUUUGUUUCAGAUUACCCGUCUGUCCCACGCCUUCUCAACUGCAUCUGAAUGCGAGGCUGUCUGUGAGAGCAGUUGCCCUGGUGAAUGUCUUCACUUGAAUGAAUGGCGAUCAAAUCCCCCUACCGUGCGCUUGAGAUCUUUGUCCAAACCUCUGAAGCCCUUCGCUGAAGUCCCUUUGUGUGUCUGCGCGUCUCUCCCGUUUUUUUUUUUUGUUUUUUUUUCUUUUCUUCUCCAAUUCUUCAUUUUCUUAGGUCAAUUUCACUUAGGACGCAAAAUUGUCUUGUCGUCUGGGAGAGCUCUAACCGCCUGAUGAAACAUCCAGUCGCUCUGAUCAACCUCAUUUGUCAUUUUGCUGCUAAUUGAGCAUCGCUCUGCUGCUAUCUGCUGAGUAUGCUGUUGUGAUUCUUCUAAAAUUGAGCCCGAGCUGUAACAUGGGAG